rnacentral:lncRNA from 1 species
GUCCAGAUCAAAUUACCAACCACGAUCAUAUUUGUCUGUUAACGGAUUCUACCCGUUUAUGUCCCCGGAGCACACGCUUGUGAGCAACGCGCCAUAAUAGAGUGUAAAUUCCUCUAAUUAUGUAGAUCAACAUUAGGGCUGUAAUCUAAUUAUACGAUCUAGCUCCUUCCGAUCAUCACUGUACCCGGUUAGUCUUUCCAAUAUAAAUAAUAUAUUGUAUUCCAGUGAUAAUCGACCAGCUUCCUUAAGUAUAUAACUUAAGUAUGUUCCAACAAGUAAUAAUUCCACGAUAAUCAUGUAAAGUAAUUCCAU